GGGGCCCAGCAGUACCUGGUGCACAUUCAAAAGUACUUUCAACAGGAGCAAAGCCGAGCCUCCCGUGGUGUGCUGGGCUCUGUGCCACCCGGAGGGUGGAAGUGAGGAACGCUGAGUGGGACCACGCUCUUCAGUACCCCACCCGCACUUCCCAUGAAGGAGACAGGAAUGUUGUCCCCAGUGCUGGUCGGUCAGGCAUUCAGUCGACAAACACCCACCCAGCAGAUGGCCUUGGGCUCAGCAGAUGCACAGAACCGGUAAGCACAGCCGAGGAGAACAGCGAGAACGGAGCUGGCCCAAGGGAGAGCCUACCUGGAAAGAGGACAGGAGAGAUGGCAAAAGUACAACCUGCCCGUCAUAUUUUCAGGCAAACUCGUGGAAGAUUUCCCAGCCGAGAAGGACUCUGCCUCCCGCAGACCCGGGCCUUGGCCUGGCUCUGGCGGCUCACCCAGGCCACUCCCACCCUCGGAAGAUGCAAGUGCUUGUCCACCUCCCUCUUGAUGGGCAGGUUCUGGAAAGGCUGCAGGUGGUGGUCACCCGUCUCAGAAUGGUGUUGGCAGGACGGACACACACGGGUGGAAUUCCAGGGGGUUCUCCAUGACCUUACCAUUCGAGGAGCGGUCCAGGCCCAGCAGCGUGGGCAUCUCCGGGGGUUGCAACAAACACAGACGCUUAUGCCCCACUGAGACCUGCCCGUUCGGAAUCUGCGAUCUUGCAAGCGCCUGAGCGACGUGCACAGGCCUGGACAUCCUUGGAGCGCUGCUUUAGGACAUAGCAUUUGCCUGACGCCAAGGACUGACCUGACCUGGGGACGCUCGGCUUUCUGGAUUUCUGUACCAUGAAGUCUGCAGACCUGUGCUUGUCUGUAUGCCGCCCUCCACAGAGGUUUGCAGCAGGGAUUAUUCAAAAGAGGAGCACAUUUGGGAAAGGCUGGGUUAAACCAAAUCAAGAUUCUUGGCUUACUACAGGUUUCGCAGCAUCUUUGUAAACCAGUAAGAGUCCUAACGUCCAUGAGGGAAGACACUGUGGCAUGUCCCAAACUCACUUGAAGUGGGAGCCCCUCUCAAAGAUUGUGGAGCAAGGCGGGCUCACUAGCACCCAUAGAGGGCAGAGCUACGAGGGACAGUGGGGGAUUCUGUGGGACACAUGGGGAGUCUGGUCCCAGCUGUGGUGUCCCGACAGCGAAGGUCUGUCCAGGAAGGGAGAGCGAGCUCGGGGCUCCCUGGAUCUGUCCCAGACUUCCCUCUCCUACCACCUUCCCCUGGCACUCUCACACCCCAGAGGAAGAACCCACCCCAAGUAUCCAGAACUUAACUAAGACCAUCAAAUCUAGGCAUCUGGAAAAAGAAAGGGAUGGGGUGGGGGUGCCGGUGGAGGAUACCAACCUCUUUUGCAUUGUAAUUCACUGUACACGGGAUGGCUCACGCUGUUCCUUCUCCAAAUCCGGCUGAACCCAGAACUGCUAACGUGCGCAGAUGAGGCUCAUGUUGUGCCAAGAGCUUUCUACACCUGCUUCGUCCAAUCCCCGUGAGGGCCUGGGGUAGCCACCCUCACUGGCUCACAUUACAGAUGAAGAGCACGAAGGCCACCGGCUUUCUAUGGCUUGCUCAGGUCGACCCAGCUAAGCAAGCAGUGGUGCCGGGAUUCAAACACCAGCAGACCCGGGGAUCCCUGGGUGGCUCAGCGGUUUAGUGCCUGCCUUGGCCCAGGGCAUGAUCCUGGAGACCCGGGAUCGAGUCCCACGUCAGGCUCCCUGCAUGGAGCCUGCUUCUCCCUCUGCCUGUGUCUCUGCCUCUCUCUCUCUNNGUCUCUGUCUCUCUCUCUCUCUCUCUCUCUCUGUGUGUGUGUGUGUGUGUGUGUGUGUGUCUAUCAUGAAUAAAAUCUUUAAAAAAAAAGUAAUGAUUUUAAAA
ensembl:lncRNA